CUGGAUCACCUCCUUAAAGGGAGACCUAAUUCAGGUAGGAGACGAAAAAAAAGUAGUCCCUACCAAGAAUCAAUCCCAAAAGGUCGGAGCGAGGCAAAAUUGGCUUUCAAACUAGGUUCUGGGUUCACACAAGACCUGAAUCAGGAACAAGGGCUAUUGGCUCAGGUGGUUAGAGCGCACCCCUGAUAAGGGUGAGGUCCCUGGUUCGAGUCCAGGAUGGCCCACCUGCACAGGUGGCAAAAACAAAGAAAAGAAGCGAGGAAUCAGCACCUUAUCUUACUUAUAUAGUAAGAGAGAAUGCUGGCUCUGAGUACAGAGUCCAGAGGAACCUUGAAAACUGCAUAGAGCUAGGUGAAAAAGCCAAAAAAGAAGACCGCAAGGUCAAGCUAAUAAGGGCA
rnacentral:tRNA from 1 species